rnacentral:rRNA from 1 species
AUUGAACGCUGGCGGCAGGCCUAACACAUGCAAGUCGAACGGUAACAGGAAGCAGCUUGCUGCUUUGCUGACGAGUGGCGGACGGGUGAGUAAUGUCUGGGAAACUCCUUUAUGACGGGGGUAAAUUCCGGGAACCGGAGCCAAUACCGGAAAAUCUUCGAAAGCCCAAGGAGGGGGACUUUCGGGCCUCUUGCCUUCGACUUGUCCCUGAUGGGAUUAGCUAGUAGGUGGGGUAACGGCUCACCUAGGCGACGAUCCCUAGCUGUUCUGAGAGGAUGACCAGCCACACUGGAACUGAGACACGGUCCAGACUCCUACGGGAGGCAGCAGUGGGGAAUAUUGCACAAUGGGCGCAAGCCUGAUGCAGCCAUGCCGCGUGUAUGAAGAAGGCCUUCGGGUUGUAAAGUACUUUCAGCGGGGAGGAAGGGAGUAAAGUUAAUACCUUUGCUCAUUGACGUUACCCGCAGAAGAAGCACCGGCUAACUCCGUG